GGUAAAAUGGCCGAGGUUUAGGCGAUAAAUUGUAAAUUUAUAGACGAAUGAAAUUUCUUUUGCCA
rnacentral:tRNA from 1 species